UAACCAUGAUGCGGGCAUUCAAGUUGGUGUUUUUUAAAUCUUCCCCAUGCAUCUUUAAAUGGUUCUCUAGGAUUUUGGCGGAAUGUAGAGAUCUUUCUCCUUACUUU
rfam:Brassica napus, WGS project CCCW01000000 data, contig: 11801